AUUGAACGCUGGCGGCAUGCUUUACACAUGCAAGUCGAACGGACUUAGGUGCUUGCACCUAGGUUAGUGGCGAACGGGUGAGUAAUGCAUCGGAACGUACCGUGUAAUGGGGGAUAACGCAGCGAAAGUUGUGCUAAUACCGCAUACGAUCUACGGAUGAAAGCAGGGGAUCGCAAGACCUUGCGUUAUACGAGCGGCCGAUGUCGGAUUAGCUAGUUGGUAGGGUAAAGGCCUACCAAGGCAACGAUCCGUAGCGGGUCUGAGAGGAUGAUCCGCCACACUGGGACUGAGACACGGCCCAGACUCCUACGGGAGGCAGCAGUGGGGAAUUUUGGACAAUGGGCGCAAGCCUGAUCCAGCAAUGCCGCGUGCAGGAAG
rnacentral:rRNA from 1 species